UCCGAGUUGACCCCGGCAGUCUCCUUUGAGUUCCCACCAUUACGUGCUGGCAACAAAGAACGAGGGUUGCGCUCGUUGCGGGACUUAACCCAACAUCUCACGACACGAGCUGACGACAACCAUGCACCACCUGUUUACGAGUGUCCAAAGAGUUGACUAUUUCUAGCCCGUUCUCGUAUAUGUCAAGCCUUGGUAAGGUUCUUCGCGUUGCAUCGAAUUAAUCCGCAUGCUCCGCCGCUUGUGCGGGCCCCCGUCAAUUCCUUUGAGUUUUAGCCUUGCGGCCGUACUCCCCAGGCGGGGAACUUAAUGCGUUAGCUGCGGCACGGAGGGAGUCGACACCCCCCACACCUAGCACUCAUCGUUUACGGCGUGGACUAC
rnacentral:misc_RNA from 1 species